rnacentral:lncRNA from 1 species
GAGACGCGCCUGUUUCUUGCAGGAAACCUGUUGCCAACAUAGUCGGAAGCCAAGCAUCCCACCCACCUUCUGCCCCAGCUGUAGCAGUUAGUUGCCCGGCAACCCAGCGCAGCACUUCACUGAGGGAUUGGGAGUACCCUCAGGUCUUGGAUUUAACUCGAGACUUCAGCUUGGCCGUGGAUCACUGCAUUGUACCUAGCUCCCACAAGGAGGAGAUGGAGAUUUCCAGGCUGAGGCUCUGGAAAGAGCUGAGGAGGGAGAGGAAUCAGACCCACAACUGAUUUCCUGUGAGUCUGAGGAACUCCCAGUCAGGUUUCUUCCUGUAGGUCACUGUGCAUUUUGCUUGGCCUCCUGCAGGUUGCUGUGCAUUUUGCUUGGCCUGUUCCCCUGCAAACAACAAUUCACCAGCUUUUUUUUUUUUUUUUUUUUUUUUUUUU